UGGGGAAUAUUGCACAAUGGGGGGAACCCUGAUGCAGCGACGCCGCGUGAAGGAAGAAGUAUUUCGGUAUGUAAACUUCUAUCAGCAGGGAAGAAAAUGACGGUACCUGACUAAGAAGCCCCGGCUAACUACGUGCCAGCAGCCGCGGUAAUACGUAGGGGGCAAGCGUUAUCCGGAUUUACUGGGUGUAAAGGGAGCGUAGGCGGUGAUGCAAGUCAGAAGUGAAAGCCCGCGGCUCAACCGCGGGACUGCUUUUGAGACUGUAUGACUAGAUUGCAGGAGAGGUAAGUGGAAUUCCUAGUGUAGCGGUGAAAUGCGUAGAUAUUAGGAGGAACACCAGUGGCGAAGGCGGCUUACUGGACUGUAAAUGACGCUGAGGCUCGAAAGCGUGGGGAGCAAACAGG
rnacentral:rRNA from 1 species